rnacentral:rRNA from 1 species
UACGUAGGGGGCAAGCGUUGUCCGGAUUUAUUGGGCGUAAAGAGCGUGUAGGCGGCUAGAUAGGUCCGUUGUGAAAACUCGAGGCUCAACCUCGAGACGUCGAUGGAAACCAUCUGGCUAGAGUCCGGAAGAGGAGAGUGGAAUUCCUGGUGUAGCGGUGAAAUGCGCAGAUAUCAGGAAGAACACCUAUGGCGAAGGCAGCUCUCUGGGACGGUACUGACGCUGAGACGCGAAAGCGUGGGGAGCGAACAGG